rnacentral:rRNA from 1 species
AGGGUUUGAUCAUGGCUCAGAACGUACGCUGGCGGCACGCCUAACACAUGCAAGUCGAACGAAGUAGCAAUACUUAGUGGCAGACGGGUGAGUAACAUGUGGGUAUCUGCCCUUUGGCCUGGAAUAACACGAGGAAACUUGUGCUAAUACUGGAUAAGUCUUUACGGAGAAAGCUUUAUGCACCAUUGGAUGAGCCCGCACUUGAUUAGUUUGUUGGUGGGGUAAUGGCCUACCAAGACUGUGAUCAAUAGCUGAUUUGAGAGGAUGAUCAGCCACAUUGGGACUGAGACACGGCCCAAACUCCUACGGGAGGCAGCAGUGGGGAAUCUUGCACAAUGGAGGAAACUCUGAUGCAGCGAUGCCGCGUGAGUGAAGAAGGCCCUUGGGUUGUAAAGCUCUUUCGUCGGGGAAGAAAAUGACUGUACCCGAAUAAGAAGGUCCGGCUAACUUCGUGCCAGCAGCCGCGGUAAUACAAAGGGACCUAGCGUAGUUCGGAAUUACUGGGCUUAAAGAGUUCGUAGGUGGUUGAAAAAGUUGGUGGUGAAAUCCCAGAGCUUAACUCUGGAACUGCCAUCAAAACUUUUCAGCUAGAGUUUGAUAGAGGAAAGCAGAAUUUCUAGUGUAGAGGUGAAAUUCGUAGAUAUUAGAAAGAAUACCAAUUGCGAAGGCAGCUUUCUGGAUCAUUACUGACACUGAGGAACGAAAGCAUGGGUAGCGAAGAGGAUUAGAUACCCUCGUAGUCCAUGCCGUAAACGAUGUGUGUUAGACGUUGGAAAUUUAUUUUCAGUGUCGCAGCGAAAGCGAUAAACACACCGCCUGGGGAGUACGACCGCAAGGUUAAAACUCAAAUGAAUUGACGGGGACCCGCACAAGUAGUGGAGCAUGUGGUUUAAUUCGAAGAUACGCGCAGAACCUUACCAACACUUGACAUGUUCGUCGCGACUUUAAGAGAUUAAAGUUUUCGGUUCGGCCGGACGAAACACAGGUGCUGCAUGGCUGUCGUCAGCUCGUGUCGUGAGAUGUUGGGUUAAGUCCCGCAACGAGCGCAACCCUCACUUUUAGUUGCCAUCAUUUAGUUGGGCACUCUGAAAGAACUGCCAGUGAUAAGCUGGAGGAAGGUGGGGAUGACGUCAAGUCCUCAUGGCCCUUACGUGUUGGGCUACACACGUGCUACAAUGGUAUCUACAACAGGAAGCAAGACUGCGAAGUUAAGCAAAUCCUUAAAAGAUACCUCAGUUCGGAUUGCACUCUGCAACUCGAGUGCAUGAAGCUGGAAUUACUAGUAAUCGUGGAUCAGCGUGCCACGGUGAAUGCGUUCCCGGGUCUUGUACACACCGCCCGUCACACCAUGGGAGUUGGUUCUACCUUAAGGCAAGGUUUAAAACCCUUGACCACGGUAUAGUCAGCGACUGGGGUGAAGUCGUAACAAGGUAACCGUA